rnacentral:rRNA from 1 species
UACGGAGGAUGCGAGCGUUAUCCGGAUUUAUUGGGUUUAAAGGGAGCGUAGGUGGAUUGUUAAGUCAGUUGUGAAAGUUUGCGGCUCAACCGUAAAAUUGCAGUUGAAACUGGCAGUCUUGAGUACAGUAGAGGUGGGCGGAAUUCGUGGUGUAGCGGUGAAAUGCUUAGAUAUCACGAAGAACUCCGAUUGCGAAGGCAGCUCACUGGACUGCAACUGACACUGAGGCUCGAAAGUGUGGGUAUCAAACAGG